rnacentral:rRNA from 1 species
GACGAACGCUGGCGGCGUGCCUGAUACAUGCAAGUAGAACGCACAGUUUAUACCGUAGCUUGCUACACCAUAGACUGUGAGUUGCGAACGGGUGAGUAACGCGUAGGUAACCUGCCUGGUAGCGGGGGAUAACUAUUGGAAACGAUAGCUAAUACCGCAUAAUAUUGAUUAUUGCAUGAUAAUUGAUUGAAAGAUGCUAUUGCAUCACUACCAGGUGGACCUGCGUUGUAUUAGCUAGUAGGUGAGGUAACGGCUCACCUAGGCGACGAUACAUAGCCGACCUGAGAGGGUGAUCGGCCACACUGGGACUGAGACACGGCCCAGACUCCUACGGGAGGCAGCAGUAGGGAAUCUUCGGCAAUGGACGAAAGUCUGACCGAGCAACGCCGCGUGAGUGAAGAAGGUUUUCGGAUCGUAAAGCUCUGUUGUAAGAGAAGAACGGGUGUGAGAGUGGAAAGUUCACACUGUGACGGUAUCUUACCAGAAAGGGACGGCUAACUACGU